CAGUAGCCACGGUAAUACGGAGGGUGCAAGCGUUAAUCGGAAUUACUGGGCGUAAAGCGCACGCAGGCGGUCUGUCAAGUCGGAUGUGAAAUCCCCGGGCUCAACCUGGGAACUGCAUUCGAAACUGGCAGGCUAGAGUCUUGUAGAGGGGGGUAGAAUUCCAGGUGUAGCGGUGAAAUGUGUAGAGAUCUGGAGGAAUACCGGUGGCGAAGGCGGCCCCCUGGACAAAGACUGACGCUCAGGUGCGAAAGCGUGGGGAGCAAACAGGAUUAGAUACCCCUGUAGUCCCUGUCUCUUAUAC
rnacentral:rRNA from 1 species